rnacentral:rRNA from 1 species
GAUGAACGCUGGCGGCGUGCCUAAUACAUGCAAGUCGAGCGAACAGACGAGGGGCUUGCUCCUCUGACGUUAGCGGCGGACGGGUGAGUAACACGUGGAUAACCUACCUAUAAGACUGGGAUAACUUCGGGAAACCGGAGCUAAUACCGGAUAAUAUAUUGAACCGCAUGGUUCAAUAGUGAAAGACGGUUUUGCUUUCACUUAUAGAUGGAUCCGCGCCGCAUUAGCUAGUUGGUAAGGUAACGGCUUACCAAGGCAACGAUGCGUAGCCGACCUGAGAGGGUGAUCGGCCACACUGGAACUGAGACACGGUCCAGACUCCUACGGGAGGCAGCAGUAGGGAAUCUUCCGCAAUGGGCGAAAGCCUGACGGAGCAACGCCGCGUGAGUGAUGAAGGUCUUCGGAUCGUAAAACUCUGUUAUUAGGGAAGAACAAAUGUGUAAGUAACUAUGCACGUCUUGACGGUACCUAAUCAGAAAGCCACGGCUAACUACGUG